UACGUAGGGGGCUAGCGUUGUUCGGAAUUACUGGGCGUAAAGCGCGCGUAGGCGGCUUUGUAAGUUAGAGGUGAAAGCCCAGGGCUUAACCCUGGAAUUGCCUUUAAGACUGCAUCGCUAGAAUCGUGGAGAGGUGAGUGGAAUUCCGAGUGUAGAGGUGAAAUUCGUAGAUAUUCGGAAGAACACCAGUGGCGAAGGCGACUCACUGGACACGUAUUGACGCUGAGGUGCGAAAGCGUGGGGAGCAAACAGG
rnacentral:rRNA from 1 species